rnacentral:rRNA from 1 species
UACGUAGGGUGCAAACGUUAAUCGGAAUUACUGGGCGUAAAGCGUGCGUAGGCGGUUUCGCAAGUCCGAUGUGAAAUCCCCGGGCUUAACCUGGGAACUGCGUUGGAAACUACGAAGCUAGAGUGCGGCAGAGGGGGGUGGAAUUCCAGGUGUAGCAGUGAAAUGCGUAGAGAUCUGGAGGAACACCGAUGGCGAAGGCAGCCCCCUGGGCUAGCACUGACGCUCAUACACGAAAGCGUGGGGAGCAAACAGG